UGCGACAGCGCGUGCGAGGGUGUUUCGGCACUCAUCGGUUCGCAGGCUGCUUGCUCCCCCCCCCCAAACACACACCCCUCCCCUCCUUAACCCCACACAUACACAUCUAGUCAUGCACAUAGAAGAAAGCGGGAGAAGGUGAUUUGACUUUAUUACCCUCAUCUCUGCCGUCUUUCCCCAUUAGCGGCAGCGCACUCCUCGGAUCAGUGUACCCUGCCGCCAUCUUUUCUUGGGAGGAACCCGAGCGCCCUCCACCGCCGAUCUCCGCCGACCUUUUCCGUCGCGUGGCAUCUUUGUGCGACCCUCUUUUUUCGCCGGCGCACAUUCGCACACAUCUAGAAUCAUGCCCGCGCGUGUCAUCACAUGUGGUAUCUGCUUCAAUGUGCUCGAUCACCCGCUGACGUUCGACUGCCAGCACUCCUUCUGCACCGGCUGCGUCCGAAGACAACUUUCCGAGAAUGGUAGCAACGGCUUCCAGUGCCCGCUAUGCGCCACUUCCCACACCGAGGUACACUUGCACAAUCUCGCGCAGUACGCUGACCACGAGGCUGAGGUGUAUGUGGAAAUACUGGCGCGCGGCACGUCCAAUCCGCCGAAGUGCCAGUGGUGCGAGACGACGUCUGCCAAAGUGCAGUGUGGUGAGUGCAUGUGCGUGUACUGUGAGGACUGCUGCAUUGCUGUGCACAGGAACAGCGCCAAGCGUGAUCAUGCCAUUGGCAAGCUUAGCGAGUCGAGUCGAAACUUCAUGACACGAUGCCCGCUGCGUGGGCAUGAGGAAUACCGAGCCGAGUUUUUUUGCUCGCAGUGCCGGCAGGUGUGCUGCGCCUACUGCCUGCAGGUCGGGCCGCAUCGCGACCACCUCCAUGUGACGGUGGCGGUGGCCGCUGCAGAGGCGCGGCAGCAGCUGUCGCGUGACAUGGAAUCUCUCCUCGAGGUCAAGCACCGAUUAGAGCAACAGGCGGCGGAGAUGAAUCGCGUCUCGUUGCUCUACUCUGACACGUACGAUGCCGUCGAGAACAUGGUGACGGAGCGCUUCGAGGCGUUCAAGCAGCAGCUCAUGCAGCGCGAGUUGGAGGUGCGGCGCACCCUGACAAACCUUCGCGAUAGCGGUGAUGCCGCGCUGACGGCGUCGCGGCGGCAGUACCUCGACAAGCUGAACAGCGUCAACGAGACUCUCCUGCAGUUUCACACGAUUCAGAACGGCGGCACAGACGACGAGGUGCUGAAGCGUCACUCGCAGUUUGGCAAGUGCCUCAACACGGAUCUGCCCGCCGUGACGGGGAGCGGCUUCAAGGUGGUCAGCCUGGGCGAGAUGACGUUGACCAGCCUCGACAUUGGCUUAGAUUUGCAAACAAUAGAGCACAACCAUCCCACUUUAUCUAGACUGAACCGAUCCGGCAGGCUUAGCGCGGCGAGCAACAUGUCCAUGAAUGGCGGCGGCUCUGUCUCCCCCUUCGCCGGCAAUACCUUAUCGACACCCCUGCGACUCACCUUCCCCGUCGACGACGAUGUCGAGGCGACCGUUCUGGCAGAAGGAGUGCGACUGCGGUGCGUCGCCAGCGGCGGUGGCGAUACGCAAAUUGGCGUGCGCAGCAAAGAGAUGUUCCAAACACUUCUUGACCAGUUCCCAGAGGACCGCGGUGUGGUGUCGUGGCAGGUGCGCCUGGACUCCAUCUCGGACACCUUCAUUGGCGUGGUGGAAAAGACGUCGCAGUCCUCACAGGUGCCGGAGGGGUUCUACUGGAAGGCGGCCUGCGCCGACGUGGUUGACGGUCGAAUCGGCCGCUACACACCUGCCGUGCGCCGCCUCCCCGUGUGCCGCAACGGCGAUCGUAUUCGUUUCUUGUACGAUGGCGUGCAAGGCACCCUUCGAAUCGUCGUGAACGGCAGUGACGAUCGCGGCGUUGUGGUGGCCGACCUGCACCCCCGCAUCGCUGCUUGCUUUGUCUUUUACCCCGGCGAGUCCCUUACCAUCCUCUUCUAGGCAGGGUCGCCCACGAUGGGCGGGUGCAUAAUGUCCUGCGAGAUGACUUGAACACACUCGUCACGGCGGAGGAGAAGGGGACGACUACGGGCUCCCACGACUGGGGCGUUUGGCUCCAUGCGCCGUCUACCGUCACACAUCCUUGUGCGUGUGUGUGUGUUUCUUUUUUGGAGAGGUUGCGAUGGUGGUGACGUAGGGGGACAUGUGGCGAUUUCUGCUUGGCUGUCGUCAUGGAGUCCGUACCCAGGGUGACCGGUGGCUGGCGCGUUGCAAUGCGUUCUUGUUUGUUCGCUAUCGAUCUGUUUUUGUUGCUUCCUCUCUCCCUGCCCUCCCGUGGUGGGAGAAGGCGAACAAAAGUGUAGGCGUAAAACUGAACUGCCCCCCCCAUAUGCGACCGAUUCUCUUCCAUUCCUCCUGCACCUUCUCUUCUCUCUCUCACCGUUGUACAUCUUCCCUCUGUCCUCGCCGAGCGUCCUUAGGCGUUCUCUCGCUAUGUGGGCUGCCGUGCGGUGUAUCUCUGCGGGCAGCGCAAAAGCGAACCGAAGGAUGCAUUGCUUUCUCGGGAAGUGGACGUGGAAGGAAGCGCGUGAUCGGGGGAGAGGACGAGAUGGCGAGAUGGCGGGAGCGUUUCAAGGGGACGGGGAAGGGGGCGAGAACGAGGCAGCGCGGACACCGUCCGUAGAGGACCGUGUUGUUGACGGGUGUAACGUUGCUGCGUUUCCACAGCUCUUUUUUUGUCGCCUCUCGUUUUUCGUUGAUGUGCUUACUCACCAUAGACACAACUGCUGCCACUAGCGGGGCUUGUCCUUCUCCCUUGUGGACUGCCUAUUCUACCUCAGGACCGUGUGCUGGAGUGUGUGUGUGUGUGCGUGUGCGUGUGCGUGUGUGUGCGUUUUUUCGUUUUGUGUUUUUCCGUUUAUCAUGGACGUUGCUCAUCUACCCCGCCGUCUGCGGAGGACGAAAGGAGCGUGCCUACGACUCUCUUCUAUGCCCUCCUGCCCUCCCUACCCUGCCCUGCCUCCUCUUGCUGACCUGUGCAAAUUAGCAACGUACUCGCACGCUCAGCAAGGCGAACGAGCAUCAUGGUGAAGGAGAUGCUGAGAUGGUCUCCUACUGUGUACGAGCGUUUCACUCGACGCUCGGCCUUUGAGUUCACAGGAGGGGACGGGGGUAAAGGGAACUGGGGCGAGGGCGGAUUCUCGGGGUGCGUUUUGCGUCGAGGCGCGGUGGCCCCUGGUCUUGAGGGAAUCAUGAUGGUCCACGUUUGUCACCGGAUCACGGAUGCGAAAAGAGCAUCGCAGACAUCUUUUUUUUUUUCGCUCACGCGAUCUUUAGAGUACGGCUUGUGAUAAAGCCUGUCCUCGCUGGCCCCUGACAGCCUUGACUGCUCUGCUCCACUCUGACUUUCUCUCUCCGCCUCUUUCCCGCUUUUCUCGUUCCCUUGUGCGCUUCCUUAUCUUCCGCACCGACUCCAUACAUUCCGCCACCUGCAG
rnacentral:misc_RNA from 1 species